rnacentral:lncRNA from 1 species
UCAUGAUGUUGAAGAGGGCAUCCAACGUGUCCUGAAGAAACUUCACUACUUCACCACCAUCGACUUUCAUCAGCUGCCUCAAGUUCUGCUGCAGCAGGCUGGUGUUGGAGCGCCAUUUCAAGAGCCCCAGAAGGUCCACGUUCUGAGUCAGUUUGGUGGAGCACACGAGCGUGGAGAUCUGGAAGGAGUCCUUGCUAAUGGUGCAGCUCCCAAGGCUCUGCAUGCUCUUGCCGGUGGCCGAGUGGCCCUUUUCUUCC